rnacentral:hammerhead_ribozyme from 1 species
GUACUACUGAAGAGUCCAAGACUAGGAUGAAACAAUCGGCUGUCCAGUAC